rnacentral:rRNA from 1 species
UGGGUAAUCUGCCCUGCACUUCGGGAUAAGCCUGGGAAACUGGGUCUAAUACCGGAUAUGAGCUCCUGCCGCAUGGUGGGGGUUGGAAAGUUUUUCGGUGCAGGGUGAGUCCGUGGCCUAUCAGCUUGUUGGUGGGGUAAUGGCUCACCAAGGCGACGACGGGUAGCCGGCCUGAGAGGGUGACCGGCCACACUGGGACUGAGACACGGCCCAGACUCCUACGGGAGCAG